rnacentral:rRNA from 1 species
AUAAAGAGUUCUGCCUGCCCAGUGACUUAACGUUAAACGGCCGCGGUAUCUUGACCGUGCGAAGGUAGCAUAAUCAUUUGCCUUUUAAAUGGAGGCUGGUAUGAAUGGCAAGACGGAAAUCAAACUGUCUCCCUUUUAAGAUUCUUGAAAUUAAUAUCCUUGUGAAGAAGCAGGGAUAAAGUCGUAGGACGAGAAGACCCUAUCGAGUUUUAGUAAAGAAGUUAUACUAAGUAUUAAACUGUUAAUUAAGAGCUGAUUAUAAACUUCAAGGAAGUUUAAAGUAGUUCCACUUUCUAAUAACAAAAUGCCUUUAGGAUAAAUACUUUAAUUGGGGCAAUUUCGGAGAAAACUUACCCUCCGUUCUGAAAUUUUAAACUUAAAAACUAUUAUUUUAAAAAAAUAAUUACAUUAAAUUGAUCCACUCAAUAGAGUGAGCAAAAGAAUAAAUUACCGUAGGGAUAACAGCGUAAUUUUCUUGAAGAGUUCAUAUUGAUAAGAAAGUUUGCGACCUCGAUGUUGGAUCGGGAUUUCCAAGAAAUGCAGCAGUUUCUAAGGGUUGGUCUGUUCGACCAUUAAAAUCCU